rnacentral:rRNA from 1 species
AAAAGUCGUGUCGUAACAAGGUCUCCGUAGGUGAACCUGCGGAGGGAUCAUUA